CAGUAGCCGCGGUAAUACGUAGGGUGCAAGCGUUAAUCGGAAUUACUGGGCGUAAAGCGUGCGCAGGCGGUUCUAUAAGACAGAUGUGAAAUCCCCGGGCUCGGCCUGGGAACUGCAUUUGUGACUGUAGAGCUGGAGUGCGGCAGAGGGGGAUGGAAUUCCGCGUGUAGCAGUGAAAUGCGUAGAUAUGCGGAGGAACACCGAUGGCGAAGGCAAUCCCCUGGGCCUGCACUGACGCUCAUGCACGAAAGCGUGGGGAGCAAACAGGAUUAGAUACCCCCGUAGUCCCUGUCUCUUAUAC
rnacentral:rRNA from 1 species